rnacentral:tRNA from 31 species
GCGCCGGUGGUCCAGUGGUAGGACAUUGCCUUCCCAAGGCAAUAGCCCGGGUUCAAUUCCCGGCCGGCGCA